GAAAACUUAGGUUGAAUUCAUAGGUUAGCCAUUAUACACAGUACUGCAAUGAACAUGGGAGUGUAAACAUCUCUUUGACACACUGAUUUCAAAUCUUUCAGGCUCUACAAGAAGCAUGGCCCCAGCAUCUGCUUCUGGUGAAGCCUCAGGAAGCAUUCAGUUGUGGAGGAAGACAAAGGAGGAGCAGUCGCGCUAUAUAGCAAAAGAGGAGGAGGCAGGAAAAGGAGGAGGAGGUAGCCAGCUCUUUGUAACCAGCAGACCUCCCAUAACUAAUGGAGGGAUAACUCACUCAUUACUGCCAGAAAGGCAAGAAGGCAUUCAUGAGGGAUCUGUCCCUACAACGCAAAGUCCUCCCACUCCUCCUAUUGUGGGCUACCUAAAAAUGGAACAUACUAACUUCCAAGAUAUUUGGGUGCACAGAUAUUAAAAGUAAAAUAAGUUGCCACACACUA